UACGAAGGUGGCAAGCGUUGUUCGGAUUUACUGGGCGUAAAGCGUGCGUAGGCGGUUUAACAAGUCAGGAGUGAAAUCCCGGGGCUCAACCUCGGAAUUGCUUUUGAAACUGUUUUACUUGAAUCCGGUAGAGGUUGGCGGAAUUCCCAGUGUAGAGGUGAAAUUCGCAGAUAUUGGGAGGAACACCAGUGGCGUAAGCGGCCAACUGGACCGGUUUUGACGCUGAGGCACGAAAGCAUGGGGAGCAAAC
rnacentral:rRNA from 1 species